rnacentral:rRNA from 1 species
UACGUAGGGUGCAAGCGUUAAUCGGAAUUACUGGGCGUAAAGCGUGCGCAGGCGGUUAUGCAAGACAGAUGUGAAAUCCCCGGGCUCAACCUGGGAAUUGCAUUGGAAACUAGCGGGCUGGAGUGUGGCAGAGGGGGGUGGAAUUCCACGUGUAGCAGUGAAAUGCGUAGAGAUGUGGAGGAACACCGAUGGCGAAGGCAGCCCCCUGGGCUAACACUGACGCUCAUGCACGAAAGCGUGGGGAGCAAACAGG